rnacentral:RNase_P_RNA from 1 species
GGAAGCGGGCUUAAAAGCCCGUUUUAGCAGUAGUCUGUGAGGAAAGUCCGCCCACCAUUUUGGCUGCUCCCUGAAAGGGGAGUUCCUGAAAGGGAAGGCAACCGCUCAGAAACGAGACGGCCCCUGUUUGGGAUGAUAGAGGCUCUUGACGACUUCAGGGGAACCGGUGAAACGGCGAGUCCCUGCCGGUGCAAGUCUUUGACGCUUAGUCAAAUGUUAAGGCAAACCUUCCGAAAGGGGUUUGACAGAAGGUGGCUUAUUCUUAUCC